UAGCGGCGAACGGGUGAGGAAUGCUUGGGAAUCUGCCUAUUAGUGGGGGAUAACGUUUCGAAAGGAACGCUAAUACCGCAUACGCCCUACGGGGGAAAGGGGGGGAUCUUCGGACCUCUCGCUAUUAGAUGAGCCCAAGUCGGAUUAGCUAGUUGGUGGGGUAAAGGCUCACCAAGGCGACGAUCCGUAGCUGGUCUGAGAGGAUGAUCAGCCACACUGGAACUGAGACACGGUCCAGACUCCUACGGGAGGCAGCAGUGGGGAAUAUUGGACAAUGGGCGAAAGCCUGAUCCAGCCAUGCCGCGUGUGUGAAGAAGGCCUUCGGGUUGUAAAGCACUUUAAGCGAGGAGGAAUGGCUCUGGGUUAAUACCCUUGAGCAGUGACGUUACUCGCAGAAUAAGCACCGGCUAACUCUGUGCCAGCAGCCGCGGUAAU
rnacentral:rRNA from 1 species